AUUGAACGCUGGCGGCAGGCCUAACACAUGCAAGUCGAGCGGAUGAAGGGAGCUUGCUACUGGAUUCAGCGGCGGACGGGUGAGUAAUGCCUAGGAAUCUGCCUGGUAGUGGGGGAUAACGUCCGGAAACGGGCGCUAAUACCGCAUACGUCCUGAGGGAGACAGUGGGGGAUCUUCGGACCUCACGCUAUCAGCUGAGCCUAGGUCGGAUUAGCUAGUUGGUGGGGUAAAGGCCUACCAAGGCGACGAUCCGUAACUGGUCUGAGAGGAUGAUCAGUCACACUGGAGCUGAGACACGGUCCAGACUCCUACGGGAGGCAGCAGUGGGGAAUAUUGGACAAUGGGCGAAAGCCUGGUCCAGCCAUGCCGCGUGUGUGAAGAAGGUCUUCUGAUUGUAAAGCACUUUAAGUUGGGAGGAAGGGCAGUAAGUUAAUACCUUGCUGUUUUGACGUUACCAACAGAAUAAGCACCGGCUAACUUCGUG
rnacentral:rRNA from 1 species